UGCAAUGGGGGGAUUAUCCUGGGUUAUCUGGGCAGACCCAAUGUAAUCACCAUAGUCCUUGCGGGAGGGAGGCAGGAAUGUCAGAGGGGCUGGAGCGAUCUGAGGCAGGGCCACAAAGCAAGGAACGCAGGCGGCCUCAGAUGCCAAGAAAGGCAAAGAUCAGAUGUGCCACUGAGCCCUCUGGAAGGAAUACAGCCCUGCUGACACCUUGAUUUGAGUCCCCUAAGACUCUUUUUGGACUUCUGACCUCCAGAAGUAGAAGAGAAUAAAUUUUUCUUGCUUUUAAACCACGGAGUUCGUGGUAGUUGGUUACAGAAGCCACAGGAACCUAAUGUCAAGGUGAAGGCUGCUUGGAGGAAGUGAUGUCUAGCAGGGUUUUGAAGAGUUAGUAGGAGUGAAUCCCGCAAAGGGGCAGACGAAUAGCUUGGGCAAGGGCCAAGGACCAGGAAACAAGAGGGCUCCUGCCACUCCUGUGCCCCAUUCAUGGUGUGAUGAGGAUUUGGGGGGGGAGGGAGCAUGCUGUCAGGGAUGAGGAGGGAAACCAGGGCAGGGGCCAGACCACCCAGGGCCUUACGAGCAACGGGGAGCCUUUGAGGAAUAAGCCUCAUAAGCAGGGGGUGGCUGGGUCAUAUUGGAAUCCUAGAAAGGUCCUUCUGGCUUCGAAAUGGAGAAUGGGUUGCAGAGGACAAAAAGAAGAGGUGGGAGACCUGGCUGGAGGCUGAGUGGCAGUCUAGCAGGAAAUGAGCAUGGCAGUGACAGGUUGGAGAGACAGCCACCAGGUGAAAGGAGCUCAGCUGCUGACUGUUGGCCUAUGAGGAAGAAGUCAAACAACGUGGAGGCUUUGGCUUUGCCAGUAGGUGGUGCCAUGGGUCACAUUUGGAACACAGAGACCAAGAGGAAAUGACUCCGUGACUUGCUCCGGGAAUGGGAAGACUGUGCGCUAAUGGACUAGUCUACUAAGUACCAGAUGCAGACCCACUUCGCGCCCCUUCUACCGGCCCCCGCCCCCUCGGGUCCCUGUGCACUGUCCUCUGUCCCAGCAAUUUCCCGCUGCUUCAGGCAAGUAGAGGCUCUCAAAUCAUAUCAGUGCUCUCCCCCCCACCCCCGCCGCCUGCUCCCCAUUUUGGACACUUGCUGACAGCCUGUCAGAGCUGCAAGAGGUCUAGGAAACUCAGCUUUACUUCAUCAGUGGAUUUCUGGAAUCUAGGGAAAUGCAUGGUCGACUUCUUGCCAACAACUUUGGUUGGUGCCUGUGAUGUAAAAAGAAAUGUAUAUGUGAUCGGGGUGCCUAGGUGGCUCAGUCAGUUGGGCUUCUGCCUUGGGCUCAGGUCCUGGGAUUGAGGCCCAUGUUGGGCUCCCUGCUCAGCUGUGAACCUGCUUCUCCCUCUCCCUCUGCCUGCUUCUCCCCCUGCUUGUGCUCUCUCUUUCUCUCUCUCAAAUAAAUAAAACCUAAAAAAGGGGAAAUGUAUAUGA
rnacentral:lncRNA from 12 species